ACUCCUGCGGGAGGCAGCAGUGGGGAAUUUUGGACAAUGGGCGAAAGCCUGAUCCAGCAAUGCCGCGUGUGUGAAGAAGGCCUUCGGGUUGUAAAGCACUUUUGUCCGGAAAGAAAUCCUUGGCUCUAAUACAGUCGGGGGAUGACGGUACCGGAAGAAUAAGCACCGGCUAACUACGUGCCAGCAGCCGCGGUAAUACGUAGGGUGCGAGCGUUAAUCGGAAUUACUGGGCGUAAAGCGUGCGCAGGCGGUUUGCUAAGACCGAUGUGAAAUCCCCGGGCUCAACCUGGGAACUGCAUUGGUGACUGGCAGGCUAGAGUAUGGCAGAGGGGGGUAGAAUUCCACGUGUAGCAGUGAAAUGCGUAGAGAUGUGGAGGAAUACCGAUGGCGAAGGCAGCCCCCUGGGCCAAUACUGACGCUCAUGCACGAAAGCGUGGGGAGCAAACAGGAUGAGAUACCCUUGUAGUCCCAUGAU
rnacentral:rRNA from 1 species